rnacentral:rRNA from 1 species
GUCCGGAAUUACUGGGCGUAAAGAGCUCGUAGGUGGUUUGUCGCGUUGUUCGUGAAAUCUCACGGCUUAACUGUGAGCGUGCGGGCGAUACGGGCAGACUUGAGUACUGCAGGGGAGACUGGAAUUCCUGGUGUAGCGGUGGAAUGCGCAGAUAUCAGGAGGAACACCGGUGGCGAAGGCGGGUCUCUGGGCAGUAACUGACGCUGAGGAGCGAAAGCGUGGGGAGCGAACAGGAUUAGAUACCCUGGUAGUCCACGCCGUAAACGGUGGGUACUAGGUGUGGGUUUCCUUCCUUGGGAUCCGUGCCGUAGCUAACGCAUUAAGUACCCCGCCUGGGGAGUACGGCCGCAAGGCUAAAACUCAAAGAAAUUGACGGGGGCCCGCACAAGCGGCGGAGCAUGUGGAUUAAUUCGAUGCAACGCGAAGAACCUUACCUGGGUUUGACAUGCACAGGACGCCGGCAGAGAUGUCGGUUCCCUUGUGGCCUGUGUGCAGGUGGUGCAUGGCUGUCGUCAGCUCGUGUCGUGAGAUGUUGGGUUAAGUCCCGCAACGAGCGCAACCCUUGUCUCAUGUUGCCAGCGGGUAAUGCCGGGGACUCGUGAGAGACUGCCGGGGUCAACUCGGAGGAAGGUGGGGAUGACGUCAAGUCAUCAUGCCCCUUAUGUCCAGGGCUUCACACAUGCUACAAUGGCCGGUACAAAGGGCUGCGAUGCCGCGAGGUUAAGCGAAUCCUUUUAAAGCCGGUCUCAGUUCGGAUCGGGGUCUGCAACUCGACCCCGUGAAGUCGGAGUCGCUAGUA